rnacentral:lncRNA from 1 species
GGAGAAAUUUUAGCGUAAAAAUGACAUUAAAAAUAUUUUGCAGUUUGGUCGGAGAUGACCUAGGGUAAGGUAAGGUGUAAACAGCUAAUAACAUAUGACAGACUGAAUAUAAAGCUCGGACCGUAGAGGGGGCCAUGCAUGUUCCAAACCCUAUAUAUCUUCCCAUUAAUUUCCAGGAAAUCAAAUAAUUAAUUUUUAACAAAAGAUUAUUAUAAAUUUUUUCAUGAAAUUAGGGCAAAAGUACAAACAUAACUAAUGAUGCCCUAAUGAAAAUGAAAUCUCUGCAAGUGGGUUUUAGGGGCCACGUAGACAUGAGUUACAAAAGCUCUGAGUCUUUAGCCCUCCUGCCUCUUCAACAGCACUUUACGACAAUAACAGAGAUCGUGAUGCGCAAUUUAAGAUCCUCUGUU